GUUGGUGUGUGCUAUUCCUGUACAAAGUUUUAUUUUGUGUUCAGUUACAUCUGCUGAGUAAAAUGACACCCCCAUUGUAUGUCUUUGGCACUAUUUCGUAAAGCUACAGUGCCAUAUAGGAGACCUGUCCUUUUCAGUACUCACAGUAGAAUUUUGAGAGACGGAUUUAAUGAGCCUAUGCUUCUGUUUGGGGUAUUAUAACAGUUUGACUGUUCAAAAAAAAAAACACAAAGGCCUACCAUUUGUAAAAGUAGACACUCCAGGGUAUCUCAUAAGGUGCAUAUUGUGCCUUAA